CCGUCGAAGCUCAGUUGGCAGAGCGGUGGACUGUAGAUCCAUAGGUCGCUGGUUCGAAUCCGGCUCGACGGA
rnacentral:tRNA from 1 species